GAGUUUGAUCAUGGCUCAGGACGAACGCUGGCGGCGUGCCUAAUACAUGCAAGUCGAGCGGAUGAAGAGAGAAGCUUGCUUCUCUYUGAUUUAGCGGCGGACGGGUGAGUAACACGUGGGUAACCUACCUUAUAGAUUGGGAUAACUCCGGGAAACCGGGGCUAAUACCGAAUAAUACUUUUAAACACAUGUUUGGAAGUUGAAAGACGGUUUCGGCUGUCACUAUAAGAUGGACCCGCGGCGCAUUAGCUAGUUGGUGAGGUAACGGCUCACCAAGGCAACGAUGCGUAGCCGACCUGAGAGGGUGAUCGGCCACACUGGGACUGAGACACGGCCCAGACUCCUACGGGAGGCAGCAGUAGGGAAUYUUCCACAAUGGACGAAAGUCUGAUGGAGCAACGCCGCGUGAGUGAAGAAGGAUUUCGGUUCGUAAAACUCUGUUGCAAGGGAAGAACAAGUAGCGUAGUAACUGGCGCUACCUGACGUACCUGUGAGACC
rnacentral:rRNA from 1 species